rnacentral:rRNA from 1 species
UGACCUGCCUUCGAGUGGGGGAUAACGUCCCGAAAGGGACGCUAAUACCGCAUGACAUCCUGCCUUUGAAGAGGUGGAGCUUAAAGCCGGGGAUCGCAAGACCUGGCGCUUGAAGAGGGGCCCGCGCCUGAUUAGCUAGUUGGUGAGGUAACGGCUCACCAAGGCAUCGAUCAGUAUCCGGCCUGAGAGGGCGGACGGACACACUGGGACUGAGACACGGCCCAG